UAUGUGAUCGUCUCUCGCAUAUCAAUAAGCGGAGGAAAAGAAACUAACAAGGAUUCCCCUAGUAACGGCGAGUGAAGCGGGAAGAGCUCGAAUUUGAAAUCUUAAAGGGUUUCCCUUUACGAAUUGUAGUUUAAAGAAGUGUUUUCUGUUGAGGUUUUGGUAAAAGUUCUUUGGAAUAGGACAUCAUAGAGGGUGAGAAUCCCGUAUUUGACCUUUACUUUCAACUUUGUGAUACACUUUCAAAGAGUCGGAUUGUUUGGGAAUGCAGUCCAAAAUGGGUGGUAAAUUUCAUCUAAAGCUAAAUAUUGGCGAGAGACCGAUAGCGAACAAGUACCGUGAGGGAAAGAUGAAAAGAACUUUGAAAAGAGAGUUAAACAGUACGUGAAAUUGUCAAAAGGGAAGCGUUUGACACCAGUGUUGUUUUUCUGAAAAUCAAUUAAAGAACUGUUUAUGCUAAGCUGUUUAGACUUUAUCAGCUAUCUGUUUAGUUUUGAGCUUUUCUUUAAUGCACUUUUCAGUUAACAAGUCAACAUCAAUUUCUUUUGCUGUAAAAAAGCUUGAGGAAGGUGGCUUGAGAUUCGUCUUAAGUGUUUAUAGCCUCUUGCCUAUGCAGUCGGAGAGAUUGAGGUCUGCAGCGUAGAUCCUUCGGGGCUAAAUGCAUUUGUGCUAAGUUAUAGCAUUUUAUAGACAACUUGUUGACUAUGAUUUGUCUUGUAGCUUACUCGCUUAUGUUAUUUUACCUACGCUUAGGAUGUUGAGUAGCGACAUACGCC
rnacentral:rRNA from 1 species